GAUGAAGAACGUAGCGAAAUGCGAUACUUGGUGUGAAUUGCAGAAUCCCGUGAACCAUCGAGUCUUUGAACGCAAGUUGCGCCCGAAGUCUUUCAGACCGAGGGCACGUCUGCCUGGGCGUCACACACAGCGUCGCCCCCCACCAACCCGUUGGCUGGGGGACGGAAACUGGCCCCCCGAGCCCCCACGGGCACGGUCGGCACAAAUGUUGGUCCUCGGCGGCGAGCGUCGCGGUCAGCGGUGGUUGUACUCUCACCCCCCAAAGACAGAAACGACGCGUACGCCUCGCCGCACGCAGGCGUAACGAACCCAGAGAAGCUCUCCCCGGAGACUUCAACCUGCGACCCCAGGUCAGGCAGGAUUACCCGCUGAGUUUAAGCAUAUCAAUAAGCGGAGGA
rnacentral:misc_RNA from 1 species